rnacentral:tRNA from 3 species
UGGCACAUAGUAGUUCUUAAGGCGGUAGCUCGCCGACAUGGGGUGUCGGGGGUCGGAGGUUCAAAUCCUCUCGUGCCGACCA